rnacentral:ncRNA from 2 species
UAACUGGGAUACUUCAGUGGAGCAAUCCAGCAGAGAUCCAGUUG